rnacentral:rRNA from 1 species
ACGUUAGCGGCGGACGGGUGAGUAACACGUGGGUAACCUACCUAUAAGACUGGGACAACUUCGGGAAACCGGAGCUAAUACCGGAUAAUAUGUUGAACCGCAUGGUUCAAUAGUGAAAGAUGGUUUUGCUAUCACUUAUAGAUGGACCCGCGCCGUAUUAGCUAGUUGGUGAGGUAACGGCUCACCAAGGCAACGAUACGUAGCCGACCUGAGAGGGUGAUCGGCCACACUGGAACUGAGACACGGUCCAGACUCCUACGGGAGGCAGCAGUAGGGAAUCUUCCGCAAUGGGCGAAAGCCUGACGGAGCAACGCCGCGUGAGUGAUGAAGGUCUUAGGAUCGUAAAACUCUGUUAUUAGGGAAGAACAAACGUGUAAGUAACUGUGCACGUCUUGACGGUACCUAAUCAGAAAGCCACGGCUAACUACGUGCCAGCAGCCGCGGUAAUACGUAGGUGGCAAGCGUUAUCCGGAAUUAUUGGGCGUAAAGCGCGCGUAGGCGGUUUUUUAAGUCUGAUGUGAAAGCCCACGGCUCAACCGUGGAGGGUCAUUGGAAACUGGAAAACUUGAGUGCAGAAGAGGAAAGUGGAAUUCCAUGUGUAGCGGUGAAAUGCGCAGAGAUAUGGAGGAACACCAGUGGCGAAGGCGACUUUCUGGUCUGUAACUGACGCUGAUGUGCGAAAGCGUGGGGAUCAAACAGGAUUAGAUACCCUGGUAGUCCACGCCGUAAACGAUGAGUGCUAAGUGUUAGGGGGUUUCCGCCCCUUAGUGCUGCAGCUAACGCAUUAAGCACUCCGCCUGGGGAGUACGACCGCAAGGU